UACAGAGGGUGCGAGCGUUGUUCGGAAUUAUUGGGCGUAAAGGGCGCGUAGGCGGUGCGGUAAGUCACCUGUGAAAUCUCCUGGCUCAACUGGGAGCUUGCAGGCGAAACUGCCGUGCUGGAGUGUGGGAGAGGUGCGUGGAAUUCCCGGUGUAGCGGUGAAAUGCGUAGAUAUCAGGAGGAACACCGGUGGCGAAAGCGGCUCACUGGACCACAACUGACGCUGAUGCACGAAAGCUAGGGGAGCAAACAGG
rnacentral:rRNA from 1 species